CCAAAGGCUCUUUUCAGAGCCACCUAGAGAUCGCCAAAAAAUUGCU
rfam:Callithrix jacchus chromosome 1, whole genome shotgun sequence